AUCGCUUCUCGGCCUUUUGGCUAAGAUCAAGUAUAGUAUCUGUUCUUAUCAGUAUUUUUUAUUAUUUAAAUAUAUUUUUAUUUAUUUCAGAGAGGAAGGGAGAGGGAGAGGGAGAGAGAGGUAGAAACAUCA
rnacentral:snRNA from 1 species